CUAGCCUCGAGGUAAAGAGUCAUGGAGGUAGAGCACUGUUUGGACUAGGGGCCCUUCUCGGGUUACCGAAUUCAGAUAAACUCCGAAUGCCAUGUACUUAUACUCGGGAGUCAGACUGCGAGUGAUAAGAUCCGUAGUCGAAAGGGAAACAGCCCAGACCACCAGUUAAGGUCCCCAAAUAUAUGUUAAGUGGAAAAGGAUGUGGGGUUGCUUAGACAACCAGGAUGUUGGCUUAGAAGCAGCCACCAUUGAAAGAGUGCGUAAUAGCUCACUGGUCGAGUGACCCCGCGCCGAAAAUGUACCGGGGCUAAACAUAUUACCGAAACUGUGGAUGAACCUCUUUAGAGGUUCGUGGUAGGAGAGCGUUCUAAGGGCGGUGAAGUCAGACCGGAAGGACUGGUGGAGCGCUUAGAAGUGAGAAUGCCGGUAUGAGUAGCGAAAGAAGGGUGAGAAUCCCUUCCACCGAAUAUCUAAGGUUUCCUGAGGAAGGCUCGUCCGCUCAGGGUUAGUCGGGACCUAAGCCGAGGCCGAUAGGCGUAGGCGAUGGACAACAGGUAGAGAUUCCUGUACCAGUGCUAAUUGUUUAACCGAUGGGGUGACACAGAAGGAUAGGGAAUCGCACGAAUGGAAAUGUGCGUCCAAGCAGUGAGUGUGAGAAGUAGGCAAAUCCGCUUCUCGCGAAGCAUGAGCUGUGAUGGGGAAGGAAAUUAAGUACGGAAGUUCCUGAUUUCACGCUGUCAAGAAAAGCCUCUAGGAAGAGUAGUACUGCCCGUACCGCAAACCGACACAGGUAGAUGAGGAGAGAAUCCUAAGGUGAGCGAGAGAACUCUCGUUAAGGAACUCGGCAAAAUGACCCCGUAACUUCGGGAGAAGGGGUGCUCUAUUAGGGUGCAAGCCCGAGAGAGCCGCAGUGAAUAGGCCCAGGCGACUGUUUAGCAAAAACACAGGUCUCUGCAAAACCGUAAGGUGACGUAUAGGGGCUGACGCCUGCCCGGUGCUGGAAGGUUAAGAGGAGUGCUUAGCUUCGGCGAAGGUACGAAUUGAAGCCCCAGUAAACGGCGGCCGUAACUAUAACGGUCCUAAGGUAGCGAAAUUCCUUGUCGGGUAAGUUCCGACCCGCACGAAAGGCGCAACGAUCUGGGCACUGUCUCAACGAGAGACUCGGUGAAAUUAUAGUACCUGUGAAGAUGCAGGUUACCCGCGACAGGACGGAAAGACCCCGUGGAGCUUUACUGCAACCUGAUAUGGAAUGUUUGUACCGCUUGUACAGGAUAGGUAGGAGCCGAAGAGACGUGUGCGCUAGCAUACGAGGAGGCAAUGGUGGGAUACUACCCUGGCUGUAUGACCAUUCUAACCCGCCACGCUUAGCGCGUGGGGAGACAGUGUCAGGUGGGCAGUUUGACUGGGGCGGUCGCCUCCUAAAGAGUAACGGAGGCGCCCAAAGGUUCCCUCAGAAUGGAUGGAAAUCAUUCGCAGAGUGUAAAGGCACAAGGGAGCUUGACUGCGAGACUGACAAGUCGAGCAGGGACGAAAGUCGGGCUUAGUGAUCCGGUGGUUCCGCAUGGAAGGGCCAUCGCUCAACGGAUAAAAGCUACCCCGGGGAUAACAGGCUUAUCUCCCCCAAGAGUCCACAUCGACGGGGAGGUUUGGCACCUCGAUGUCGGCUCGUCGCAUCCUGGGGCUGUAGUCGGUCCCAAGGGUUGGGCUGUUCGCCCAUUAAAGCGGCACGCGAGCUGGGUUCAGAACGUCGUGAGACAGUUCGGUCCCUAUCCGUCGCGGGCGCAGGAAAUUUGAGAGGAGCUGUCCUUAGUACGAGAGGACCGGGAUGGACACACCGCUGGUGUACCAGUUGUUCCGCCAGGAGCAUCGCUGGGUAGCUAUGUGUGGCAGGGAUAAACGCUGAAAGCAUCUAAGCGUGAAGCCCCCCUCAAGAUGAGAUUUCCCAUUUCUUCGGAAAGUAAGAUCCCUGAAAGAUGAUCAGGUAGAUAGGUUUGGAGUGGAAGUGUAGCGAUACAUGGAGCGGACAAAUACUAAUCGAUCGAGGACUUAACCAAAA
rnacentral:rRNA from 1 species